UGAGGAAUAUUGGUCAAUGGGCGAGAGCCUGAACCAGCCAAGUCGCGUGAGGGAAGACGGCCCUACGGGUUGUAAACCUCUUUUGUCAGGGAGCAAGAACGGAUACGUGUAUCCGAGCGAGAGUACCUGAAGAAAAAGCAUCGGCUAACUCCGUGCCAGCAGCCGCGGUAAUACGGAGGAUGCGAGCGUUAUCCGGAUUUAUUGGGUUUAAAGGGUGCGUAGGCGGGCUGCCAAGUCAGCGGUAAAAUUGCGGGGCUCAACCCCGUCGAGCCGUUGAAACUGGCGGUCUUGAGUGGGCGAGAAGUAUGCGGAAUGCGUGGUGUAGCGGUGAAAUGCAUAGAUAUCACGCAGAACUCCGAUUGCGAAGGCAGCAUACCGGCGCCCGACUGACGCUGAAGCACGAAAGCGUGGGUAUCGAACAGG
rnacentral:rRNA from 1 species